CCCAGACAUCUUUGCUUAAGACAAAUCUUGUGAGAAUAGAGCAUGCAGCCGCUAGGUGGUGCUGUGGAUAGAGUUCCAGGCCUGGAAAUGCAGAGGACCUGGGUUUGAAUUUAGCCACUGCUUAGCUGUGCGACCCAGGGAAAGUCAUUUAACAGAGCUUUGAGUCACUUUGGGCUUCCAGUUUCCAGAGGGAAGACAGAAGAUGCCUACCUCAUCUCAAAUUGCUGGAGAAAAAGACAUUUGGAAUGCAUGAGAAGAUCUGGCAGUCUCUAUCAUGUCCCUACACUGGAGACUUUGGGUGUGAAUUCCAUGAACAGAACUGUUGAGGGGGAAGGACCCCUGCUGUCCUUUUAUCCUGGCUCAGAGAAAUGCGAACCAGUGUGUUUUUUUUGUUUUGUUUUGUUUUUGGUUCUUUUUCUUGAGUUUGUUUCUGUUUUGUUGUUAUUCUUUUUCUUUCUUAAUCUUGAGAUCCUGAGGUGAUCUCCAAUGAUAGGGAGUUUAAGAUAGAGACCUCUGAGCAAGAAUUACAGGACCGGAGGGACAGUCAGUCAAGAGGACAAGAAGCUCUGGGAAGCCAGGGUACUUGGGACUUGAGCCUUAAUGGGCCUCUGGACUUGGAACUAGAACUGUGCUCUAUAGGAAUUGAGCUAAACUGUGAAACUGAUCCUCUUCUCCCAGGGAUUGAGGUGGUACCAGUAGGAAAAGGAUUAUGCUGUGUAUUUAUGGGGGGGAGGAAAUGUAAAUGUUUGUAACUAAAUUUUUUGAAGUAUUCUUUUGUAAAACCUUUUUGUGUUAAAUAGAUAGUGGUAGUCUCUCGUUGACAGAGAAUGACUAUUGUCUUUGUGCAUUAUCAUCUAUUGAUGUACCCUCAUGUGGCUUUGAAGUCCAAAGACUGAGGCGCAGAGUUUGUGGCACAUGGGGCAUGGGACGCCAGUUGUUACGGGAGGUGCGGUUGUGGCUUGGUGUCAGCAUUCAUGCGCAGCAGCAAGAUGUCGACGUCGUUCAUCUUCAAAGGUGGCAGCGGCAUGGUGAAUGUGGGUUUGCCAGCUGCUUCUGUCAGAGGCAGCGAGUUCUAGUUGCUUUGGUGUAAUGCCAGCCCACUUCAAGUUUGACUUUAGCUGAUCCUUGAAUCUUUUCUUUGGUCGACCUUGUUUCCUGAGUCCAGCUGAUGGCUCACCAUAGAAUACCUGUCUUGGUAUUCGCUGUGGGUCCAUGCAGAUGACGUGUCCAGACCAUCGUAGCUGGGUUUUGAGGACCAUAACUUAGAUGUGAAGCUGUUGCAGGGGUUUUGUUUUUCAUGUUUUUUUUUUCAUAUUCCGUGAGGAUUAAGGGAGGUAGGAGAGAGAGAGUAGAGGGUUGUUAACCCUCUGGGAUCCUUUGGAAGACUAGUUGCCCCAAUGGAUCAUUUUAACCAUAACCAACUUAAAACUGUAAAGAUUUUAAAUUAAAGGUAUAUACAAUAUUGUAGUUUUCUAAAGGGAAAUUACAAUAAUUUGGGGAUAAAAGGGAAACAAAAAAGAAAAAGAAUAAAACCAAUGAUUACUACA
ensembl:lncRNA